rnacentral:rRNA from 1 species
UGAGUAACCUGCCCCAAACUCUGGGAUAAGCACUGGAAACGGUGUUUAAUACCGGAUACGAGCUUCAGCCGCAUGGCUAGGAGUUGGAAAGAAUUUCGGUUUGGGAUGGACUCGCGGCCUAUCAGCUAGUUGGUGAGGUAAUGGCCCACCAAGGCGACGACGGGUAGCCGGCCUGAGAGGGUGACCGGCCACACUGGGACUGAGACACGGCCCAGACUCCUACGGGAGGCAG